rnacentral:rRNA from 1 species
CCUACGGGAGGCAGCAGUGAGGAAUAUUGGUCAAUGGGCUGACGCCUGAACCAGCCAAGUCGCGUGAGGGAAGACUGCCCUAUGGGUUGUAAACCUCUUUUGUCAGGGAGCAACGCCGGCUCCGUUUCGCCUGACUGAGCGUACCUGAACAAAAAGCAUCGGCUAACUCCGUGCCAGCAGCCGCUGUAAUACGGAGGAUGCGAGCGUUAUCCGGAUUUAUUGGGUUUAAAGUGUGCGUAGGCGGAAUGCCAAGUCAGCGGUAAAAUUGCGGGGCUCAACCUCGCUCCGCCGUUGAAACUGGCGUUCUUGAGUGGGCGAGAAGUAUGCGGAAUGCGUGGUGUAGCGGUGAAAUGCAUAGAUAUCACGCAGAACGCCGAUUGCGAAGGCAGCAUACCGGCGCCCAACUGACGCUGAAGCACGAAAGCGUGGGUAUCGAACAGGAUUAGAUACCCUUGUAGUC